rnacentral:rRNA from 1 species
AUUGAACGCUGGCGGCAUGCUUUACACAUGCAAGUCGAACGGUAACAGGGAGCUUGCUCCGCUGACGAGUGGCGAACGGGUGAGUAAUAUAUCGGAACGUACCCAGAAGUGGGGGAUAACGUAGCGAAAGUUACGCUAAUACCGCAUACGAUCCACGGAUGAAAGUAGGGGACCUUCGGGCCUUAUGCUUUUGGAGCGGCCGAUAUCUGAUUAGCUAGUUGGUGAGGUAAAGGCUCACCAAGGCGACGAUCAGUAGCUGGUCUGAGAGGACGACCAGCCACACUGGAACUGAGACACGGUCCAGACUCCUACGGGAGGCAGCAGUGGGGAAUUUUGGACAAUGGGCGCAAGCCUGAUCCAGCAAUGCCGCGUGAGUGAAGAAGGCCUUCGGGUUGUAAAGCUCUUUUGUCAGGGAAGAAACGGUAGAGGCUAAUAUCCUUUGCUAAUGACGGUACCUGAAGAAUAAGCACCGGCUAACUACGUGCCAGCAGCCGCCGCCGUAA